CCAGUCCCUACCCUGCGGCGCCACCUCACCCAAUCAGCCACCCAGUCCCCACCCUGUAGUGCAACGCGCAGUCCAGUACACGCCUUCUCAGAUUUCCCUUGCAUCACGGCUGCAUGUGAUUAUAAUGGCAGAGUAGCCUGUCCCAGAUGCUAAUUGAACGUCUUGAAGAUCGGCAAAAGGUGUUCCAUUUGGGUUGUGGUAUGGGGGAAAAAAUCAUCCUGCUAUGUUAGGUGAAGUCUUGAACUGGAAACACCAUUUGGCAAGCUUGCGUGCAAGUGAACAGAAAUUAGUACUUUUGACAUGGAAGGGUCAAGGCUGAUUACUUUUGUUUGAUAUAGGAAUUUUGUCGUAUGUGAAUAUAAAAUUUUAUAAAACCAUAAAUUUGUAAACUUAUUCAGUUAGGAAAGGUUAUUACAAACCUUCUUGCCUUUCUAUUAGCAGCA